rnacentral:tRNA from 1 species
GGGAAGGUAGCUCAGUGGUAGAGUGCUUGCCUUGCAUACAUGAGGCCCUGAGUUCGAUUCCUCAGCACCA